AACGAACGCUGGCGGCGUGCUUAACACAUGCAAGUCGAACGGAAAGGCCCUGCGUUUGUGGGUUUCUCGAUUGGCGAGCGGGGGAGUAACACGUGAGUAACCUGCCCUUGACUUUGGGAUAACUUCAGGAAACUGGGGCUAAUACCGGAUAUGAUCUCCUGCUGCAUGGUGGUGGUUGGAAAGUUUCGGCGGUUGGGGAUGGACUCGCGGCUUAUCAGCUUGUUUGUGGGGUAGUGGCUUACCAAGGCUUUGACGGGUAGCCGGCCUGAGAGGGUGACCGGCGACAUUGGUACUGAGAUAGGGACCAGAAUCCAAUGGGAGGCAGUAGUGGAGAACAUUGCACAAUAGGCCGACGCCUGAUGCAGCAACGUCGCGAGCGGGAUGACCGCCUUCGGGUUGUAAACAGCUUUCGCCUGUGACGAAGCGUGAGUGACGGUAAUGGGUCAAGAAGCAACGGCUAACUACGUG
rnacentral:rRNA from 1 species